GGCAAGGCAAGGUGAAGAAAGCUUGGAAACACCCAGCUUUUUAAAGCUUCGGGUUUCAUUUUCCGCCGCCACCGCCCGACAGAAAAGUGGUACCGCCCGGCGGUGGAUGGUAAUUUUCCUUACCACUUUUCUUGCUUUCCUCCUUGUGAUUUCUCUUGGUGACUCUUGAUCUCUUCCCUAAAUUUUCAAUCUCAAGAUUUUCC
rnacentral:lncRNA from 1 species